UACGGAAGGCAGCAGUGGGGAAUAUUGCACAAUGGGCGCAAGCCUGAUGCAGCCAUGCCGCGUGUAUGAAAAAGGCCUUCGGGUUGUAAAGUACUUUCAGUCGUGAGGAAGGUGUUAAGGUUAAUAACCUUAGCAAUUGACGUUAGCGACAGAAGAAGCACCGGCUAACUCCGUGCCAGCAGCCGCGGUAAUACGGAGGGUGCGAGCGUUAAUCGGAAUUACUGGGCGUAAAGGGCACGCAGGCGGUUAAUUAAGUUGGAUGUGAAAUCCCCGGGCUUAACCUGGGAAUGGCAUUCAAGCUGGUUAGCUAGAGUCUUGUAGAGGGGGUAGAAUUCCAUGUGUAGCGGUGAAAUGCGUAGAGAUGUGGAGGAAUACCGGUGGCGAAGGCGGCCCCUGGACAAAACGUGACGCUCAUGUGCGAAAGCGUGGGGAGCAAACAGGGAUUAGAUACC
rnacentral:rRNA from 1 species